GAUCAACGCUGGCGGCGUGCCUAAUACAUGCAAGUCGAGCGAACGGACGAGAAGCUUGCUCUUCUGAUGUUAGCGGCGGACGGGUGAGUAACACGUGGAUAACCUACCUAUAAGACUGGGAUAACUUCGGGAAACCGGAGCUAAUACCGGAUAAUAUUUUGAACCGCAUGGUUCAAAAGUGAAAGACGGUCUUGCUGUCACUUAUAGAUGGAUCCGCGCUGCAUUAGCUAGUUGGUAAGGUAACGGCUUACCAAGGCAACGAUGCAUAGCCGACCUGAGAGGGUGAUCGGCCACACUGGAACGGAGACACGGUCCAGACACCUACGGGAGGCAGCAGUAGGGAAUCUUCCGCAAUGGGCGAAAGCCUGACGGAGCAACGCCGCGGGAGGGAUGAAGGUCUUCGGAUCGGAAAACUCUGUUAGUAGGGAAGAACAAAUGUGUAAGUAACUGUGCACAUCUUGACGGUACCUAAUCAGAAAGCCACGGCUAACUACGUG
rnacentral:rRNA from 1 species